rnacentral:rRNA from 1 species
UACGAGGGGGGCGAGCGUUGUUCGGAAUUAUUGGGCGUAAAGGGUGCGUAGGCGGUGCGGUAAGUCUUCUGUGAAAUCUCCGGGCUCAACUCGGAGCCUGCAGGAGAAACUGCCGUGCUUGAGUAUGGGAGAGGUGAGUGGAAUUCCUGGUGUAGCGGUGAAAUGCGUAGAUAUCAGGAGGAACACCUGUGGCGAAAGCGGCUCACUGGACCAUAACUGACGCUGAGGCACGAAAGCUAGGGGAGCAAACAGG